UACGUAGGUGGCAAGCGUUGUCCGGAUUUAUUGGGUUUAAAGGGUGCGUAGGCGGUUUUGUAAGUCAGUGGUGAAAUACUCUAGCUUAACUAGAGGGGUGCCAAUGAUACUGCGGAACUUGAGUACAGAUGAGGUAGGCGGAAUUGACGGUGUAGCGGUGAAAUGCAUAGAUAUCGUCAAGAACACCGAUAGCGAAAGGCAGCUUACUGGGCUGUAACUGACGCUGAUGCACGAAAAGUGUGGGGGAUCAAACAGG
rnacentral:rRNA from 1 species